AACGAACGCUGGCGGCAUGCCUAACACAUGCAAGUCGAACGAGACCUUCGGGUCUAGUGGCGCACGGGUGCGUAACGCGUGGGAACCUGCCCUUAGGUUCGGAAUAACUCCCCGAAAGGGGUGCUAAUACCGGAUAAUGUCUUCGGACCAAAGAUUUAUCGCCUUUGGAUGGGCCCGCGUUGGAUUAGCUAGUUGGUAGGGUAAAAGCCUACCAAGGCGACGAUCCAUAGCUGGUCUGAGAGGAUGGUCAGCCACACUGGGACUGAGACACGGCCCAGACUCCUACGGGAGGCAGCAGUGGGGAAUAUUGGACAAUGGGCGAAAGCCUGAUCCAGCAAGGCCGCGUGAGUGAUGAAGGCCUUAGGGUUGUAAAGCUCUUUUACCCGGGAUGAUAAUGACAGUACCGGGAGAAUAAGCUCCGGCUAACUCCGU
rnacentral:rRNA from 1 species